rnacentral:rRNA from 1 species
UACGUAGGGGGCAAGCGUUGUCCGGAAUCAUUGGGCGUAAAGAGCGCGUAGGCGGCCCUGUAAGUCCGCUGUGAAAGUCAAGGGCUCAACCCUUGAAUGCCGGUGGAUACUGCAGGGCUAGAGUCCGGAAGAGGCGAGUGGAAUUCCUGGUGGUAGCGGUGAAAUGCGCAGAUAUCAGGAGGAACACCGAUGGCGAAGGCAGCUCGCUGGGA